rnacentral:rRNA from 1 species
GACAGAGGGUGCAACCGUUGCUCGGAAUCACUGGGCGUAAAGGGCGUGUAGGCGGGCCGGGAAGUCGGGCGUGAAAUCCCUGGGCUCAACCCAGGAACUGCACUCGAAACUACUUUUCUUGAGUGCCGGAGAGGAAAGCGGAAUUCCUGGUGUAGAGGUGAAAUUCGUAGAUAUCAGGAGGAACACCAGUGGCGAAGGCGGCUUUCUGGACGGUAACUGACGCUGAGACGCGAAAGCGUGGGGAGCAAACAGG